AGUGUGAGACAUUCCAGCCAAUGAGACCCACAGGCUUUGGAGGCGAUGGGUCCACCUGUGAGUGGAGUACAGAACGUGGGGGAACAGCUUCCCAGGAGUCUGGGGCUCAACCUCUCCAGGAGGCCCUGAAGGUGGCCUGAGAAAGUUCUGCCUCUCGGGGGGGCAGCGUGGAGCACAGGAGCCGCAGUGAGUCCUGCCUGGCUCUAAGCACCACUUUCCAAGCAUGCAGCUUUGGCAGGUGAAUUAGCCCAGUACUCAGUUUCCUCGGCGGGAGAGCAGGGCUGUGGGGUGGCACCUGCCUCACAGGGCCGCUGGGAGGGAUGCCUGGGUGACAGUGAACGCAAGGAGCAUGCUCAUACACCCCAAACAUGGCGAGCGUUAUCUGGAGGCAUAUGCAGAGGUGGGACUGGGGACCAGGUCUCCAAAGACCAAGAAUCAGCCGAGGCACUAAGGGGCAGAUUGCAGAGGUGAACAGUCCCGCCAGUGAGAACCCGGCCCUGUUAUUCCACGGCCUUCUCUGCCUUCUGCGAGAAAACGAAUUUCCCAGACCCCAGCGCAGGCCUUUCUCACAUCUCAGCAGCAGGGACCGUGGCUCCAACUGCGGCUCAGGAUGAAGGCCCCAGGCGCUGAAGAGAGUGAAGCCGAACCCCUCCUCAAUCCCAAAACACUGGGGACCACGGUGAGACAGCGACGCCCUGGAUGCUGCCUGGUCAAGGUCAGGCUGUGAUCGGCCUGUCAGGCGUGUGGCAGAACCAGCUUCAGAGGCAGCGGUGUCCACGUAAUGAGCUCAAAUGAUGCCCCAGGAAGAACAUAGAUGGCUUCUUUCUUUAAUUCCUCAGCAUGUUUUUAAAUUUAAAUAACUCUACAUUGCAUUUUGGAAAAAGCGCUUCUAACAUAAGCCUGUUUGACUGCAGUUAAAUAAUUUAUGUGUCUCUUGGCCUGGGAAUCACUGUCUCCAUUAUUUUUUUUAUGUGACUCACUUUAUUGCUCCAUUAUUAUUAAUAAUAAAUAUGUCAGGAAUCAGGCACACAAAAAUAUCAAGAAUAAAGAAGUAUAUAAAGAGCUCCUCAAGACACAACCCAAAUGAAAGAUGGGCAAAAGAUAUAAACAAGCUGUUCUUUUUCAAAAAAGAGAAAAGAACAGCAAAUGGACUUAAACACAUAAAAAGAUUCUCAACCUGCCUGUUAGCAGGAGAAGUACAAGAUAAAACCACAACAGGACGUGGCAUCUCAUCCAGCAGCGGUAGGCAGGCCCAGAAGCUGGCAAGCCGGGCAGCGCAGGCUGCUGGCGAGGUAGGUGGAGAACAGGCAUCCUCCUACGGCACUGACAGAGCAAACCGCAAACGUACCCCCCUUCUCAGAAAUCUCCCUUCUCCAAAGCGAUCCCAAAGCUGUCCUCGCAGAAAUAUAGCUGAUGUACUCACAAGGCAUCUGCAGCACUAUUUAUAAAAGCAGAAGAUUGGAGCCCAGCUGUCCAUGAUGUGGGGCGGCCAGGGGCGGGGGAGGUUGAGUCCACAGGGGAACAUCACGCAGCUGUGCAGACACAUGCACGCCAUCCACAUAACACGCAGGUACAAAGGGACGGAGGGACAGAGAGAAAAAAGUCUGGGCCGGGGUAACUGUAAGCCACCGUAUAUGUCAUUGGGAACACUGACUCAUUUACCCUGGGCCUGAUGUCACUGACUUCUACCUCCUGCCCCAAGACUUAGAGUGAAAGAUGAAAAGAUGACCUGUUAACUCACCUGUGGGCAGGAUGUGUAGACCAUGUAGCAUAUGUGAUUGAAUACACAGCCAGUCCCUCCAUUAACUCCAAAGGACACGGCUCCUUCGGCAGCUGCUGGAGGCCAGGCGGAAGCCACUCCCAGGUGGGUGCAUCCUGGCUGACUUUCCUGGAAAGUCCCGAUGCUACACUGACAACUACAUUCUCUUUAGCAAUUGUAGGAUGGCCAGCAAGGACACUGUGGUUAUCGGCGGUGGAAAGUAAAUUCUUGGCAUCCUACUGCUAUUCCAGGCUAUUAAACUACAUUACGGU
rnacentral:lncRNA from 1 species